rnacentral:rRNA from 1 species
AUGGCGAAGUCUAGUCGCCGGCGACGGGCUGCCAAAUUGAUGGACAGGCCAUCCGCUUCGACCGUGGGGGAAGUCAAUCCAGAUGAUAGGAUCAGCAGCUUGCCCAAUGACAUCCUGCUCAACAUUCUCGACCGACUCGAUGUCCGCAACGCUGCGAGAACCAGUGUCCUCUCGAGAAGGUGGAGUCAGCUUCCUGCAAUGCUCCCACGGCUUGUAAUCAGUGCUCCGGACCUCCUGCCCUCAGAAACUAAAACCAAAAAGACCAAUGGUAAAUUGGUUCGGAGGACCAAAGCAGCUGUGGCCGAAGCUUUGGCCAAUGCAGGAUUGUCCAAUGCUGAAUUGGUUCAGAGGACCAAUGCAGCUGUGGCCAAAGCCUUGGCCGAUGCAGCCAAAGUUGUGGCCAAUACAGCUGCGGCCAAAGCGACAAAGAGCAUACUGGCACGCAGGGAUCCGGGUGGAUGCACCAUCCGCCUCUUGAGCAUGACGUUCUACUUGAAAGACGAUGCCCCCAUAUCAGUUGGGCAUUCUGUUGCCAGUGCCAUGGCAACAUGCAAGACUGAAAAGGCCGAAUUCAUAGUUCUGACAGAGAAGGAACGCCUAGAGUGCGACGUUUAUGACGUGGAAAACUAUGGGACACGGUUUGUGUCGUUUUUUAAUGAAUGUGUCAAUGCAUUUGCUGGUCUCACCCGCCUCCACCUGCAGAAUUUGAGAUUCGCCAAAUCAGACUUUGUUUCCAACAUCCUUGUCACUUGCAAGAAAUUAAAUUAUUUAGGUUUUCUCAAUUGCGACACAGAGGAUUGGAUAACGCUCCAAGUUGAACAUGCACAGCUCAGAGAGCUUAGUAUUGUUAAUUGCCGGUUUGACAUGGUCAAACUCGCCUGGGUUCCGAAACUCACCUGCCUGGCGUUUGAGUCUUGGGUGUCUUUCAGAAAACCACCAUUGUCAUUUGGCCAUGUCCCAUUGCUUGAGGUUCUGCGCCUUUCAAAUGUUGCUCUUAAUUGGCACAAAAUGGUCAAGUUAAGUACAUUUCUUCACGAGACCUCUGUCCGAGACCUGAGGUUGGGGUUUAAAUCUGAAAAGGGUAUGAUCUCACCUGGACAAUGUUCUUUUUGGAAGCGGCGCCAUCCCUGA